rnacentral:rRNA from 1 species
AUUGAACGCUGGCGGCAGGCCUAACACAUGCAAGUCGAGCGAGCGGCGGACGGGUGAGUAAUGUAUGGGUACUUCCCGAUAGAGGGGGAUAACUACUGGAAAAGGUAGAUAAUUCCGCAUACUAUCGGCUAACUCAUAUGGGAUUGGCUAGUAGGUCAGGUAAUGGCUCACCUAGGCGACGAUCCCUAGCUGGCCUGGGAGGAUGAUCCGCCACACUGGGACGGAGACACGGCCCAGACUCCUACGGAGGCAGCAGUUGGGAAUAUUGCACAAUGGGCGCAAGCCUGAUGCAGCCAUGCCGCGUGUAUGAAGAAGGCCUUAGGAUUGUAAAGUACUGUCAGUCGGGAGGCGGUACCGACAGAGGAAGCACCGGCUAACUCCGUGCCAGCAGCCGCGGUAAUUC